GCCAGGAAGACGACCUUAAAGAAAAUUUAAAACCGUCUGAGCAACUUGCCGUGGAACAAAUACAUAUAUGUUCCAGAUGAGCAAUUUGCUGAGACCGAAAAAGUAGCAGAAAAACAGGUUCGUCGUUACUAUACUGGAUAUGCAAUAUACCAGAAGGUCUUUUGUCGAUUGAAGUGCGAUAAAUGUGCCCUAUUAAUGCAAAAGAGGGAUAUCUCUUUACAAGACUCAUCGGAAGCCCUUAUAAGGUCAAAAAAUUACAAAGGAGACAAUGACCUAAGGCUGGUUAAUCCCGAUGAUAGAGUCUUCGAAAUAAGCCGCCUACAAAUGAGCUGCUAUAAAGAGCUCUUUAUAGCAAAUUCUUGCAGAGUGGGUAUAAAAUCUAUGAUUUUAGCCCAGAUUACUGCAAUUACACAACAGAAAUACCCAGAGUGGUAUAGCGAGGCAGGAGAUUGCCUCGAACAUAGGCACCAAUUUUUGGAUUUCUUAAUAACGGUUUUACUAUUUAAAAACGCGAAAUGGCUAGCUCACCAGCAGGAAGAGCUUUAUAAAAAUGAAGUAAGGGCGAGGUUGUACAAUAAAAAACAAAAAUUAAAGAAACUGGUACGAUAGAUUGCAGGCCAUAUUUGAUUUUUCUAGUAACUUUCGUUGGAUAAAAGCUUCUUCAAAAAUUAAUAAUGUUCUUUUUUUUUCUUUCAGGGUAGAAUUAAGUUGUAAAUAGUUUGUAGUAGUAGUUUUAGUAUUAGUUUUUGUUAAUUUGUAGUUAGCUUUAGUAGUAGUUACAUAGUACACGAGCCAAGCUUUGAAAAAAGCUGGUGAAAAAUACCUAAUCUUUAUUGAUUAGGUUGUGUGAGAAUUUGUGGUUGAAGGUAGACAAAUUCUGAAAAUCGUGUUUUACUAAAAUUA